rnacentral:tRNA from 1 species
AGGGGUAUCGGUUAAUGGUAAACCAAAGGUCUCCAAAACCUUGACUGGGGGUUCAAGUCCCUCUACCCCUG